UUAGCUCAGCUGGGAGAGCAUCUGCCUUACAAGCAGAGGGUCGGCGGUUCGAGCCCGUCAUCCUCCACCA
rnacentral:tRNA from 1 species